ACACAUUUAACAGAUGAAAUUUUACACAUGGACAUUUACAGCAAUAUCUGGACAAAAAUAGAUCAAAUGACGGUGAGUCCAUAAGACAGUCAUCAGCUA